UACGGAGGGUGCAAGCGUUAUCCGGAUUUACUGGGUUUAAAGGGUGUGUAGGCGGGCUUUUAAGUCAGUGGUGAAAUCUCCGGGCUCAACCUGGAAACUGCCAUUGAUACUAUUAGUCUUGAAUUUUGUUGAGGUAGGCGGAAUAAGUCAUGUAGCGGUGAAAUGCAUAGAUAUGUCACAGAACACCAAUUGCGAAGGCAGCUUACUAAAGUAUGAUUGACGCUGAGGCACGAAAGCGUGGGGAUCAAACAGG
rnacentral:rRNA from 1 species